GUCGGGUCGGCUGUGCGGAAGCGAGGCGGAAGGGAGGGUCGGGAUGACGGCGGCGAAGGCAGAUCGCCUGCCGGGGGAUGGAGAACACCGGAUGGGGCUGUUGGGCCGCUUAGCAGGGGCGGAGAGGACAGCGGGGGCUGGACGGGGCCUGAGGUGGGGCCGGAGGGGCCCGAAGGGGCCAGAGGGUGACAGACAGCACCUGAGGUGGGAUCGAAUAGGUCGGAGAGGAGGCUGAGAACCGGUGCGGGCCGGUCAGGGCCUGAGGAGGGGUCAAGGGGAUAGGGAGAUCCAGAGGAGACAUUAGGAGGGGCAUGGGGAAUGGAGAGCGCUGGAUGUGGUGUGGCCCUAUGGUGGACGCUGUGGGAUGAAGGAGCAGGCAGAACUGCCUGAAGGACCGAGGAGUUGUGUAAGGGACCAAGGAGCAGUGGGACAAGGGCAGGCAGCGCCGCCUGUCAGGGAAAGGACCAAGGGUGCUGGCAAUACGGAACCUGCCGGGCAUCUGUGUUUCUGUGUGACGGACAGGGUUCCCUGUGUGUGCAUCCCUGGGCAGGAGGGGGCAUCCAGAUACUUGGCUGUGGGUUGCAGCACUGCAGCCCUGAGACGGACACACGUGAAGGUCAUGUCAUGGUGAGCAUGGCACCAGUCUUGGCCCAGCUGGGCCUCUGCCCUAUCCUUUCCCAUUGUCCCCCGUGGCUGCUGAGGUGGUUCUGU